rnacentral:rRNA from 1 species
GACGAACGCUGGCGGCGUGCUUAACACACGCGAGUCGAACGGAAAGGCCCUGCUUUUGUGGGGUGCUCGAGUGGCGAACGGGUGAGUAACACGUGAGUAACCUGCCCUUGACUUUGGGAUAACUUCAGGAAACUGGGGCUAAUACCGGAUAGGAGCUCCUGCUGCAUGGUGGGGGUUGGAAAGUUUCGGCGGUUGGGGAUGGACUCGCGGCUUAUCAGCUUGUUGGUGGGGUAGUGGCUUACCAAGGCCUUGACGGGUAGCCGGCCUGAGAGGGUGACCGGCCACAUUGGGACUGAGAUACGGCCCAGACUCCUACGGGAGGCAGCAGUGGGGAAUAUUGCACAAUGGGCGGAAGCCUGAUGCAGCAACGCCGCGUGCGGGAUGACGGCCUUCGGGUUGUAAACCGCUUUCGCCUGUGACGAAGCGUGAGUGACGGUAAUGGGUAAAGAAGCACCGGCUAACUACGUG